rnacentral:misc_RNA from 1 species
GAUGAAGAACGUAGCGAAAUGCGAUAAGUAAUGUGAAUUGCAGAAUUCAGAGAAUCAUCGAAUCUUUGAACGCACAUUGCGCCCGCUAGUAUUCUGGCGGGCAUGCCUGUCCGAGCGUCAUUAAUUCCACUUAAGCCCUGCUUAGUGUUGGGAAUCUACUCUAGUGGUGCUACCCUGGAGCUACCCCUGAAAGGGGGCUGGCCCGGUAGCUACCCUGUAGUUCCUCAAAGAUAGUGCGCGGAGUUGCGUGGUCCUCUGAGCUUAGUAACUAUACACCUAGCUUUUGAGUGUCCCGCGGCGCCUGCCGUUUAAACCCCAUCUUUUAAUGGUUGACCUCGGAUCAGGUAGGAAUACCCGCUGAACUUAAGCAUAUCAAUAAGCGGAGGA